UACGUAGGUGGCGAGCGUUGUCCGGAUUUACUGGGCGUAAAGAGCGCGCAGGCGGUCUAUCAAGUCAGAUGUGAAAUAUCCCGGCUUAACCGGGAGGGGUCAUUUGAAACUGGUAGACUAGAGUACAGCAGAGGAUAGCGGAAUUCCCGGUGUAGUGGUGAAAUGCGUAGAUAUCGGGAGGAACACCAGUGGCGAAGGCGGCUAUCUGGGCUGAAACUGACGCUGAGGCGCGAAGGCUAGGGGAGCAAACAGG
rnacentral:rRNA from 1 species